GGCGGGUCCCUUGAACCUAGAGUUACAGAUGGGCAUGAGCCAGUGCUGGGAGUUGAACCCAGGCCCUCUGAAAGAGUACAGGCGGCGCUCUUAACUGUGGAGCCGUCUCUCCAGCCUGACUGAAUCCUUGAUCCACAUCAGCCUAAGUGCCGGGGUCACAGUGCACCAGGCCCAGAAGCCCAGGCUCUCCUCCCUGGCCCCCCGGGACACGCCACCCGGCUCCCUGUAGCCCAGGCUGCCCUCACCUCGGUCAUGAUCAUGUCCUGGCACUUCUUCACGUACUUGCCCUCGGCCUUGAUGACGGUGUGCAGGAAGUCCAGGUACUGCACGUGGCGCCCGUGCGUGGCCAGCAGGUGCACGAAAUGCUGCAGCACGGGCUCGCUGAUCUCGGAGCACAGCUGGUAGUUGUUGAGGAAAAUGUGCUGCAUGGUCUCGGCCUCCAGGAGCUGUGGUGGGCACGGGGUCCAUGAGGGAGGAAGGCCCACCAGAGAAGGGCGGGGCCCAUCAGAGAAGGGCAGGGGCCACCAGAGAAGGGCGGGGCCACCAGAGAAGGGCGGGGCCACCAGAGAAGGGCGGGGCCCAUGGGGACCUCACCCCAGGUGUGAGAAAGAGCUGAAGGUGUUUGUGCAGCAGGGCCUGGUUGCCAGGGUUCCCGGCGCAGAACUUCUGCAGGAACUGGUGUGUGUAGCGCAGGAUCUCCAGCAUCUUGUUGUCACCCUGCAGAAAGAGGCUGCUGGGCCACCAGGGGGACAGGCCCGGGGUGGCUGAAACGGUCCCUAGGGUGGGACAGGCCCGGGGUGGCUGAAACGGUCAGGAUCCAAUAAGCCGCUAGGCUGGGGUUAAAACGUGCAGGGAAUGGGGGGCGGGGAGGGCUUCCAGGAAGUUCAAUUGGGAAAUGGCCUCCGUCAGACUGCUCUGUGAACAAGUCUUUGGGGCAUUUUCUUGGUUAGUGAUUGUUAAGGGAGGGCCCAGCCGGCUAUGGGGCGUGCCAUCCCCGAGCAGGUGGUCCUGGGCUGUGAAAACAGCUUAGUGAGCCAAGCUGGGAGAGCCAGGGGAGACAGCAGGCAGUCCUUUCACGGCCUCGGCUUCAGUUCCCGCCCCUUCCCUGCCCACUUUACGAUGGGAGAGCGAACCUAUACGCUCCCUGUGUGCUGAGAUUACUUAUAUGACGCCCUCCCUCUCCAAGAUGCUCUGGAUCAUGGUCUCUCUUACAGCAGUAGAAAUCUAACUAGGACACUGCUCUAGCCUCGGAUGAGCUGGGUUUGAUCCCUAGAACCCAUGCAAAGGUAGAAAGAGAUGAGCCUUGUCUCCUGCACACACCCUGGUACAGCACACACAUUAAGUGAAAGUCGGGUGCAGCCUGAUGCCUGCAGGGUCAUCUCAGGGGCCUGGAGCGAGGACCCUCCACUCCCAGCACCCAGAGGGCUCGUAAUCACCUAUGAAUUCCAUCUCCAGGGGAUCUGACACUCUUCUGGACUCUGAGCAUGUGCACAUAUGCACAAAUAUUCAAAAAGAAAAGAUCAGCCCGUGUGAGGGGCUGAGGGUCAAAGGUCGACAGAGGCUACAUGAGGGGAAGGACAAGGCACCAUGACAUUGGGAUAAGGAGCUCGGGGUCAAAGGGCCGGAAUCGGAACUCUUCCCUAGUGCUCCAACCCUGUAAUACAGUCGUGGUGACCCCAACCAUAAAAUUUUCAUUGCCACCUGGUUGUAAGUUUGCUGUUAUGAACCAUAAUGUAAAUAUCUGUUUUACAAUGAUAUUAGGUGACCCCUGUGAAAAAGUCAUUCAAACUACACACACACACACACACACACCUGCCCGCUGGCCAGCCCACCCGCGGGUUUAGAACCAUUGGCCCAGAUGGAGCUGACAGGCAGCAUAGCCCAGAGGAGGGGAAGGAGGCUGGGGUCAUCGUUAAGCCUGGGGGUCAAACUCAAGGGCUGUGUAGCUCAGUGGAAGAAUGUUUGCCCUUACUUGAGUCAGGUUCUGGGUUCAAUGCCCCGCACCGUGGGAUGGGGGGAUCACAGCAGAUCAAAGUGAGGACAAAUCAGGGUGUGGGGAGUGCUGAGGGCUGUCACCUUGUCGUAAGGGAUCUGCAGCAGGUCCAGCAUGACCUUGUGGGCGUCCAUGUUCUUCAGUAGCCUCUGCUGCUUCUUCCUCAUCUGUUCCCCGACCCCGCACAUCUUGUUCAGCCUCUCCAGGAUCUGCAGGGGGACGGGACGUGGGAGCCGUGUGCCUCCUGCUCCUCAGAACCCCCUCUCUGCCUGCUCAGCUGCAGCCACGCCCAUUCCCCCGGGGGACAGGAGAGGGGAAGGACUCCGGGCUGUGCUGCUGACCCAGGCCACCCUGGCAAACCAGCAGAGCGCUGAGAUGCCAUCCCACCCGUAAGCGCACAGCGGCACGGCUCUAAAGUGGGGUCUCAUUAAAUUCCCAAGGCUUUAAGGUAACUAUUGGGGCCUCGGUGGGGCUAUUCAGAACAGGCCAGAAAGCUGGGGAUGUCUGGCUGCAGGGCCCAGAGGGAACUGAGAGACGCCAGGGCAACGGGAGCCCCAUCUGAGUCAAGUCGAAGCCAGCUGGGGGAUACCCCACCCAUACCCCACCCACCCACGCCCCUGCCACUCACGCCCUUGACAAUCUGGUAGUUCUCACUGCUCUUCUCCCCGUGUGGCUGGAGAAACCCCUCCUCAUCCGUGGGUCGCUAAGGACGCAGAAGAUGGAGUCAGCCCGGCCCCCUCACUUGGGGGCACCCUGCUUGGCUCCCGGAAGCCUGCUCACCUCCUUCUUGUCCUUGGCGGCGCCCGCCUCCCCCUCCUCGCCCUUGACACUGCCCUUCUUGUCCACCCACAGCUCGGACUUCUCCACCAUCGUCCGCAGCCGGUCCAGCUCUGACUUGAUCACCUUGUAGUUCUCAACAUCCUGGGCUGAGAUCAGCAGCUGGACCUGCACAGGGAGGGUGUGACCAUGCGGCGUAUGUCCCCGGAUUGCUGUCAUGCCUGGAACUACAGCGCCCACCUAGACCAGACCCCCCCCGCCCCCCGCACACAAGCGUCACUUCUGCCUCCAUCUUUACAGCCCCCUCCUCCAGGAAGCCUGCACUCCUGCCCAGUUACUCAGACUCCUGUCACACACCACACACCACACACUGGUCCACUCAGAUGCCAAACAGGCAGGGGAGAGCACUGGAGGUCACUGAACCCUGGGCGAAGGAGGGACCUGGGACUUUAAGGACGCGGGCCUGCAUGGGGUCCCUCCUCCCCCCUCACUGGGCCUAUGUCCUCUUCUCACGGGGGCUGAGAGCGGUGUCACAUACUGAGGGAGCUGGGGGAAUUCUGGGGAACCAGUGCAAACCAGUACAUGAGGAGCACUCGCUAAAUGCCAGCCCUGAUCGGCAGGCAUCUCACAAGAGGCUGUCAAGGGGGCAUGACGCCACAGCGACAGACACCAGGCAGCUUGGUGAGGGAUGUCUGCAAGCCAGACUUGGGAGGGGAUGAUCAGCAAAGGUGUGCCCAGCUGCCCACUCUCAAGUGGUGUCCUCAACAUAGUGAGUUAGGCCAGGAGGUGGCACAGGUGGCGGAGACUGGAUCCUCCCCUGAAGGAUCUCAACAAGGCUGAAAGCCCUUACGUGAGGCCCGGCACCCCUGCCAAGCUGUGAGGGGCUGGGUCACUGUGUGCCAGGGUCCACGGCCCAGGAGCCGGCAGGCGGCCCCCUCUCACCUGCUUGAAGGUGUGCAUGGCCUCCUGGCGCUGGCUGAAAUGCUUGAAGAGCAGUUGCAGGGCGCCGGAGACAAGCGGUGCGUAGUCAUGCAUGGUCAGGUGCAGCAGCACCCGCAGAAACAUGCGGCCACCCUCGUCGUCCACCUCCAGCAUGCUGCUGGUCUUCCUGCCGGCACGGGGGGGGGGGGGCAGGGAAUUGCAGCGGAGCAGCGCCACUCCAGUAUCUGCCCUUUCCCACCCGUGUGCAGAGAACCACUGCCCCCACCGGGGCAUCCGCUAUCUCCUGCUCGAGGAUAGCCCUCCGCCAAGCCCCUGAUGCAGGAACCCUUCGUGAGGGAUCCUCCCCCACCCCCCACCCCCACCGAGGGCAUGAGGAGACAUCUCUUCCUUCAGGGAGAGAAUGCAGCUGAGCCUGGGGGUUGCCGCCAGUAAGAAUCACAGACACUUUCCCGUCACCUCGGAGCUGUUACUGUACGUUGUGAAAUACCAUUUAUGUGCGCCACUAGCUGGAGUCACCGCUAAUUACCCCCACCGGCGCAGCUGCUACCUAACGCGCUAAUAAAGAGUCACACGCGUAGCGGCCA